rnacentral:rRNA from 1 species
UACGGGGGGUGCAAGCGUUAAUCGGAAUUACUGGGCGUAAAGGGUGCGUAGGUGGCCAACUAAGUCAUACGUGAAAUCCCUCGGCUUAACCGGGGAACUGCGUCUGAUACUGGAUGGCUUGAGUUUGGGAGAGGGAUGCGGAAUUCCAGGUGUAGCGGUGAAAUGCGUAGAUAUCUGGAGGAACACCGGUGGCGAAGGCGGCAUCCUGGACCAAUACUGACACUGAGGAGCGAAAGCCAGGGGAGCAAACGGG